UCUACAUCUGCCUCUUUCACUAUGAAUAAUAACCAAAAAUAAUAACCAUGGAUAACCACUGACCUACCAACACAAUUACAUUUAAUUAAAUUCAAUACGUUUAUUUUUACAGCAAUGGACAUUGUCUCAGCGCAGCUUUACAGUAUGUUAGAAUUAUUGAAUAAAAACGUUUUAUACAUUUAUUCACAAUGUGCAGCCCGGGGUGACAGUGGCAAGGAAAAACUCCAUUAGAAGGUAUAAGGAAGAAACCUUAAGCAUGACCAGACUCAAAAGUAGGCAACCCAUCCUUAUUUCAGUGACAAUUAAAAAUUUCUCCAAAAGCACAAGAAGACUCUUCCAGGAGCUUAUAAAAGAACCUCCUGUAGGAACCUGUAAAAUAACCUGUAGGCCCCACUUGCCUAUAAGGUCGGUGUUCAUGAUUCAACAGAAAGAAAGAGACUGGGGUAAAAUGGCAUCCAAUGCAGGUGUGAAAAGCUUAUAGCAUCAUCAACAAAAAACACUUGAGGCUGCCAGAGGUUCUACAACUAAGUACUUAGUAAAGGUUCUGAAUAUUUAUGUGCACGUUAUAUCUCUUUUUUUUUUAUUUCAAGUUUUUUUCGCCCUUAUUCUUUGGUUCCUUCUGCUCUCAGAGCUCAUCAUCUGCUCUCACAUGCCCAAGUGGCUCCUUUUAUAGCUGAUUUAAUUUGUCAUUAUCGCAACGAGCUUUGAAUGAACUAUAUUCUGAAGCAUGCCAACAUUAGUAGAUUGCUUGUUAGAGCAUUAAAUAAAACACAGCAGUAGCUCUACCACUGUGUCUCACUGAAAGCUCAGAUCCCUCUCUUUAUCACAGAGCUCAUUAUGGACAGGAAGAAGACCCGCUGUCUCUCUACUGUCAUUUUCACGCUGGGAUUUUUCCACUGCCAUUUAACAUGCUGUUUGUACAGUGCCUUGAAUAUGCAUUCAGCUUGCCCACCUUUUUUUUUGUUCUUGUAGAUAAUGUGCAUUUCUGAGGCGGUCAAACCCCUACGUCCUACAUCCGAAGCUAAUCAAACUGCUUCCACUGUGGUAAGACAGAACCAGCAGCAUGUCCACGGUGUGAGGACAGAACAUGUCCAUUGUGUCAAGUCUUCUCUGUGAGGCCAUCAUUUUUGUCAGAAGAAGCUGCCAUGGCAGAAAAAAAGAUCAGGUGGUCUGCACAACACAUUUAAAAGUUCAUCAUAGUUAAAACACUUUUUACAAGAUAUUUCUCUGAUGUUCCUAGCAUGUGGUCCUGCUGGAACUGACCAUUCCCUUGAAAGAUUACAAAGAUAACAUAGAGUAUAAAGAACUGACCGAGGAGCCCUCAAAGACCCUACUGUAGCAGGCUCAUUUUAGCUCCUCUGAGUAACAUGGAUCUGGAUUAAAUGGGGUGAUCUGUGCUCCAUGAAAGGUUCUUGCACACAGUAAUGUUACAUUGGUAAUGGUAACAUUGGUAAUAAUUAAUGACCCAAAAUGCACUAAAGUCUAUCACUGAAGAUAUCUUCAAGUGCAUCAGACGAAUAAUGAUGAACAUUUUAGGGUCAUGAGGGUCAUUUUUGGUCCUCUGAGGAACAUGGCUCUUGUUUAAGAGCUGUGAUCUGUGCUAAUGACCCCUGGUCAUGAUUAAUGACCCAAAACACCCCAAAGUCCAUCAAUGAAAAUAUCUUCAAGUGCAACACACAAUUAAUGAAAAAAGCAGCAGGUAAUAUUGACUUUUUCACUGACUUUGGAACGUUUUGUGCUUUUGUUUAGGUCCAUGACACAUGCAGGUGCAAGCUUGGUAGUUAAGACUUUGGAUCCAAAGAUCAUAACUUUAAAUCCAAGCCACACCAAGCUGUCACUACUGGGCCCCUGAGCAAGGCCCUUAACUUUAUAUAUGCUCAGAUAAAUGAAUGAGAGAAAUUUAAGUCACUCUGAAUAAGGGCAUCUACCAAAUGGCAUAAAUGUAAGUGUAAAUAUGAGCUGGUGCCGGCUUCACUCCAUGUGCUUUUUAUAGCUUCCUGGUCAUGACGUCACCCCACCAGUCACCUUUCAUUGGACAGAUUACACACGUGAUUCAGAGCGUGGACAACGUGGAAGCAUUUCCAAAGCAUUGCAACGCAGCUCGAGUUCCUGAAAUGGAACCUGGUUUCCUGGUUGAGCAUAUCAGAAGGAAAAACUCUCCAAUCGGAAUUCGAAUGCAGGUCCAUGUUGUUCUGAACCCUGUAACACACUAAGAAAUGUAGUGAAUCUUUGGAAAAAGCCACCACAAGAUUCAUAAAGUAUUAAACUGUGGGAGCUGUUGAAGUGGUUAAAGUGAUGGACUUCUGAUCGGAAGGCUAGGCAGACAGAGAGCAGGAUGAAGCAGUCUCUCGAGGACGAGUGGCAGUCUGACAUGGUGAAGAACUAAACGAUCUGAGGAAUGUCAGAAAUAGGCACAGUAGAUCUGUAAAGGUUCGUUUACGGGGAGGAUAAAAGGGAAA